AAGGAGUAUAAGGGCUUUGGCAGU
rnacentral:piRNA from 1 species